UGGGGAAUAUUGGACAAUGGGCGCAAGCCUGAUCCAGCCAUGCCGCGUGAGUGACGAAGGCCUUAGGGUUGUAAAGCUCUUUUUGGCGGGGAAGAUAAUGACGGUACCCGCAGAAUAAGCUCCGGCUAACUUCGUGCCAGCAGCCGCGGUAAUACGAAGGGAGCUAGCGUUGUUCGGAAUCACUGGGCGUAAAGCGCACGUAGGUGGGCAGUUAAGUCAGGGGUGAAAGCCCGAGGCUCAACCUCGGAAUUGCCUCUGAUACUGGCUGUCUAGAGUUCGAGAGAGGUGAGUGGAAUUCCUAGUGUAGAGGUGAAAUUCGUAGAUAUUAGGAAGAACACCGGUGGCGAAGGCGGCUCACUGGCUCGAUACUGACACUGAGGUGCGAAAGCGUGGGGAGCAAACAGGAUUAGAUACCCUCGUAGUCCCUGAGCGGGCUGGCAAGGCGCAU
rnacentral:rRNA from 1 species